GCAUCUAUACUUUCAGUGAUCAUUUCUAUAGCUCUAACUAGGAAAUGUGAUUAGAGUGUGUUAUGUUUCUCUAAUCAUGACAAUGAGUUAAGAUGUACUUUUCUAAGCGUGAAUCAGAUUAGAGUUUUGUGUUUUAUGUAGAAGCUAUAAUUGUUGAUGAUUGUUAACUGAAAGCUAUCAGAGGAAAAGUACAUUAACUGAGUGUU